ensembl:lncRNA
UCAACGCUAGCCCGGACACGCACGCGCUCCAACUUUUUUUUGUUAUCCACCCAGCGGAUGCCACCGCGAGGCGCGAGCUGCUCCACUCUGUCCAGAUCUGCGGGAUUUUAUCGGAAGGCUCAACUUCACGACCGCGCUCAAGUUUGGGAUUUUGGAUUAUAUCGACUUGGGAACGUUUUACGGAUUAAGGAUUACCCACGAUUCCCUCUUCCGAAUACUGGAUUAUUUACUCGUGCCGUGGGAUUAUCGCACCGUCCGCGACGGGAAAACGGCGUGAGGUUUAUUGAUCCUGAGGAAUCGGAUGGUUUGGAAUCGGGUCGGUGUUCCAGACGUGUCCCGUACCAGAUGUUCCGGAAUGGGGAGCCGCCAGUCAUGCCCCAAUCCAAAAACGUCCUCCAGACGUCCAGUUUAGGGUUGUGGCGGACUCAGAACCUAUCUUGGGAUACGCUGAGUGCAAGGCAGGGAUACACCCUGAAUCAAACACACCCUGAACCCCUCAAACACGCCCCAAAAGCAGCAGAUACGCCGGGGUUAGCUCAACACUAAAGGACAUACCAUCAAUGGACACCAUGGGUGUGUUCUUCAACUUGAUCAGCAGGACCUGAGAUGCCCUCAUGCUGACCUGCAACGAAAGAACCGUACAGGAACCGGAGGUUAAGUAACCAAACACAACGAAAGAUCUGUUAUUGAUCACGAUGUGCACGCCGUGGCUCGUCGAGGAAACAGCAGCGAGGUGGAGGAGGAGGAGGAUUCAUCCUGAGUCACUGAGUGAAACUGAGGAUUCGACAGGUUUGGGUGUGUGGAGUCACUGGGCUUUCUUCGCUUGUUAAAGCAGGACGCUUGUAAAGCAGGAAGAUAAAUUCGAGUCCAUGUGUUAUAAACGGGAACGGCGGGGAAACCUAUCCUCUAAACCGCAAGGAGCCCUGCGGCUUUUCCUGACCGCCCUGAUCCAGACGAGCCGACCCGUAGCUGUUUUCUGUCAGCAGUCUCUCCAGGAGAAGUUCGUGGUGAGGUCACAGGGAACAACCUUUUUUGAGGCGGGACGGAAGACGGCGUAGACUCAAAACCGGUUUCUUCUAAACCCGUGCCCGAACAUGUCCUGUGAGACUGGUGGGGUUGGAAUAGAAUCGGUACCCCCCAGAUCCGUCACGCAAAACCGCCACCGAGCCGCGGAACCUGUCCGUCUGAUCCCGAGACGCCGAACGUGACGCGCCACGAGCACGGAGGCCUGUAAUCCGUGUGAUGGUUGGAUAAACGUUGAAUAACGAACGCAGCGUCACUGUAUUACGUAACGGAAUCCUGUAGGGUCGUCAUGGCGACCUGUUUCGUAUCGAUCUCGCCGGAUUCCUAAUAUUUCACCACUCCCUGCCCUCAUCCUCGUCCCCGCGUCCGAAUGUUAAAAACGUGACUCAAAGUGUUCGGAGAGUAAAUACAGAGGUUUUGUGUGUUAACUGGACAAACUGUUGUGUUAAAGUACAGUUUUAGUCUGAAAUUUAUAUUUGUAACACCGGGAACAUGGUAGUAAAAGCUUUUUUAAUCCGAUUAAGCGAUUAGGAACAGAAUCGUUAGCUGCGGCUCUAAUUAAAAUAUAACAGUUUAGUUAAAGGGAAGGAGAGGUAUUAGUGUAAACACGCAGCACCGUUUGUCCGUGUGUUUGUGUCGAGACCCGUUUGUCACGUCUAACAGGCCGAGCUUGACUUCAGCAGCAAAGAUUCUCAGGAUAAGCGUUGAUGGAAACCGGUGAACCCGCAUGUACAGGCGGUUCCCUUAAUCAAAUAAUUAAUAUCCAGUUCCUGUAAUAUGACACGAGGCCAGGUUGGAAUACGAUACAACUGUUGUGUCAUACUGGCUGCAAAAGGGCACGUUUAAAAUAUAUUCUUUAUGUACAGGUAUUUACAGGGUUUUUUUUUUAUGGGUCAUAUAGUGUAUGAGGACUUAAAAUAGCUUAGGUCUUAGAAUGUGUUGUAUGACCUGCUAUAGCCCAUAUAGUGUAUAGGAGGCCUUAUAAUGUAUUAUAUUAUAACGUAUGGUCUUAUUAUAGGCCUUAUAGUGUAUUAUAGCGCAUUAUAGGUGUUGUUAUAGGUCUUACUGUUAUAGGCCGUAUAGUGUAUGAUGCCUUAUAAUGUAUUAUAUGUCUUAUUAUAG